rnacentral:rRNA from 1 species
CUGGCGGCGUGCUUCAUACAUGCAAGUCGAACGAGAAGUACCUUCGGGUAAUGGAAAGUGGCGGACGGGUGAGUAAUGUGUAGAGAAUCUGCCCUAGAGUGGGGGACAACAGUUGGAAACGACUGCUAAUACCGCAUAUGCGCGUAGCUGAGAUGCUAUUCGUGAAAACUAAGGUGCUCUGGGAUGAGUCUGCAUCUGAUUAGCUAGUUGGCGGUGUAAUGGACCACCAAGGCGACGAUCAGUAGCUGGUUUGAGAGGAUGAUCAGCCACAAUGGGACUGAGACACGGCCCAUACUCCUACGGGAGGCAGCAGUAGGGAAUUUUGCGCAAUGGGGGAAACCCUGACGCAGCAACGCCGCGUGAUUGAAUAAGCCCUUCGGGGUGUAAAGAUCUGUCAGUGGGGACGAAACUUGACGGUACCCACAGAGGAAGCAUCGGCUAACUCCGUGCCAGCCGCCGC